GAUGAAGAACGCAGCGAAAUGCGAUACUUGGUGUGAAUUGCAGAAUCCCGUGAACCAUCGAGUCUUUGAACGCAAGUUGCGCCCGAAGCCAUUAGGCCGAGGGCACGCCUGCCUGGGCGUCACACGUCGUUGCCCCCCCAUCUACUCCUUCGGGAUUGCGGGGGGCGGAUGAUGGCCUCCCGUGCGCCUCGUCGCGCGGUUGGCAUAAAUGCCAAGUCCUCGGUGACGCACGCCACGACAAUCGGUGGUUGCGAAACCUCGGUUGCCCGUCGUGUGCGGUCGUCGCGCAUCGAGGGCUCGAAAAAAGUGUCGGGCUCCGGCUCGGCUUUCAACGCGACCCCAGGUCAGGCGGGGUUACCCGCUGAAUUUAAGCAUAUCAAUAAGCGGAGGA
rnacentral:misc_RNA from 1 species